CCUACGGGUGGCAGCAGUGGGGAAUAUUGGGCAAUGGAGGAAACUCUGACCCAGCAACGCCGCGUGAAUGAUGAAGGUCUUCGGAUUGUAAAGUUCUUUUAUAAGGGAAGAAGAAAGUGACGGUACCUUAGGAAUAAGCCUCGGCUAACUACGUGCAAGCCGCCGCGGUAAUACGUAGGAGGGAAGCGUUAUCCGGAUUUAUUGGGGUGAAUGGGUGCGUAGGCGGGCGGAUAAGUUAGAGGGGAAAUCUCGAGGCGCAAAUUCGGAAUUGCCUCUGAUACUGUUCGGCUAGAGAGUAAUAGCGGUAGGCGGAAUUUAUGGUGUAGCGGUGAAAUGCGUAGAGAUAAUACAGAACACCGAGUGCGAAGGCAGCUUACCAGGCUACUUCUGACGUUGAGGCACGAAAGCGUGGGGAGCAAACAGGAUUAGAUACCCUAGUAGUC
rnacentral:rRNA from 1 species